AUGACCUUUAUGCGCUACUCCCAUGGUCAGCUCAUCUUCUACGACAACAAUGGGUUCCAUAUUGUUAAUCCAUUCAGUGGCACUAAGGUUGGUCCUCCUUUCCUCCAGUCAGUUCACUUCACUUGCAUCAGCUAUGUCACCUUAACUGCCCCUGUUGCAUCCGCUGAUUCGCAUCUCCUUGUCGGUGCUGGAGCCUAUCUGUUCCUGUGGCGCAUCGGGAGCGGCUCUUGGACAAAACACAGUCCUAAAGUUGGUAGUUUUUCGAUUGAACAAAAUGUGGCCUUGAAAGGCAAGACAUAUGCCCUAGGGUCUUUCGGGUGGUUCUACAUCAUUCACUUGUCACCCAGUCUCAUUAUUCAGAAGUUUAAAGUUGUGUUUGAGGAAGAUAUAACCGAAGAUCUCUAUUCAACAAAUGAAAAAUCAUGGCUAGUGGUCUGUGGUGACGUUUCUCUCUUGAUCAAACUUGUGGAGGCGGGGAGAAGGAUGCGCUCGGAGGCCUUCCAGUUCAUGGCCUUCAAGCUUGAGUCAGUGGACACCAUGACCAAGAAGGCAAGGUGGGUGAAGGUGAACAAGUUAGAUAACUGGGCCAUCUUUAUCAGCGUUGACGAGUGGUGCGAGGCGUUGCCGUGCAUGAACCCAGAGGGAUGGGGAGGGAGGAGCAACCACAUAUACUUCCCGAGUUAUCAGUCUGAAAAACCUUGGGCUGCAGUGCAACUAUGGCAAAAAUGUUAUUACCGUUCGACACAGCUCUUCAACACUGGAAGACGGUACUUGAAAUUGGAGUCAACCUGGGUCUUCCCCGCGCGUUUCCUCGUUCCGUCCUGCGAUGAUCUUACGGCCGUGAGUGCGGUUAGAGAUUAG
rnacentral:rRNA from 1 species